rnacentral:tRNA from 1 species
GCCGGUGUAGCUCAGACGGCAGAGCAACUGAUUCGUAAUCAGUAGGUCCGCGGUUCGAAUCCGCGCACCGGCACCA